rnacentral:tRNA from 1 species
AAGACACUAGUAAAACAUAUUACACCGCCUUGUCAAGGCCAAGUUGUGGGUUAAAAUCCCGCGUGUCUUG